UCGAUGGAAAAGGAAAAUUAGGUUACCUCACUGGGGAGAUAACGAAGCCGGCCUCAACCAACACGGUUCUUCUUCAAAAAUGGAACUCAGAAAACUCAUUGGUGACUGCUUGGCUGAUAAACUCCAUGAAACCCACUAUCGGAAAGACGUAUUUGUUCCUGCCCACUGCAAAAGACGUAUGGGAUGCAGUCAGAGAGACAUAUUCUGAUUCUAAGAAUUCAUCCCAGAUUUUUGAACUCAAAACUAAACUCUGGCAAACCAAGCAAGGUGACCGAGAUGUGACAGAAUACUACCUGGAGAUGUCGACUUUGUGGCAAGAACUCGAUUUGAGUACCGAAGAGGCAUGGGAUUGCGCAGGCGACAGUGUUCGAUUCAAAAAAAGGUUGGAAAACGAAAGGGUCUUCGAAUUCUUGGCUGAGUUGAACCGCGACCUAGAUGAAGUGAGGGGACGAAUUCUUGGCCGGAAACCCUUACCGUCGAUGAGGGAGGUGUUCGCGG
rnacentral:lncRNA from 1 species